rnacentral:tRNA from 1 species
UGAGCACUACUUCAGUGGUAGAGCUCCCGCUUCCUAUGCGGGAAGACCUGGGUUUGAUUCCCGGCUGUUUAC